GACGGACGGUGCAAGCGUUGCUCGGAAUCACUGGGCGUAAAGGGUGCGUAGGCGGCCGUGCAAGUCUGGCGUGAAAGCCCCGGGCUCAGCCCGGGAAGUGCGCUCGAAACUGCGCGGCUCGAGUGCCGGAGGGGAGAGUGGAAUUCCAGGUGUAGCGGUGAAAUGCGUAGAUAUCUGGAGGAACACCGGUGGCGAAGGCGACAUCCUGGACCGGUAUUGACGCUGAGGCGCGAAAGCCAGGGGAGCAAACGGG
rnacentral:rRNA from 1 species